rnacentral:rRNA from 1 species
UACGUAGGGGCAAGCGUUGUCCGGAAUGAUUGGGCGUAAAGAGCGCGCAGGUGGUUGAUUAAGUCUGAUGUGAAAGCCCACGGCUUAACCGUGGAGGGUCAUUGGAAACUGGUCGACUUGAGUGCAGAAGAGGGAAGUGGAAUUCCAUGUGUAGCGGUGAAAUGCGUAGAGAUAUGGAGGAACACCAGUGGCGAAGGCGGCUUCCUGGUCUGUAACUGACACUGAGGCGCGAAAGCGUGGGGAGCAAACAGGAUUAGAUA